rnacentral:rRNA from 1 species
ACGCUGGCGGCGUGCCUAACACAUGCAAGUCAACUUGACUGAAGGAGCAAUCAGACAGUAGAGUGGCGCAAGGGUGCGUAACGCGUAAGUAACUUGCCCCAAGGUAAGGAAUAACGUCGAGAAAUCGGCGCUAAUACCUCAUAAUGCAGCGGAUCCGCAUGGAUAUGUUGUUAAAGGUUUACCGCCUUGGGAUAGGCUUGCGUCUGAUUAGUUAGUUGGUGUGGUAACGGCACACCAAGGCUACGAUCAGUAACUGGUCUGAGAGGAUGAUCAGUCACACUGGAACUGAGACACGGUCCAGACUCCUACGGGAGGCAGCAGUGAGGAAUAUUGGGCAAUGCUCGAAAGAGUGACCCAGCAACGCCGCGUGGAGGAUGAAGGUAUUCUAUAUCGUAAACUCCUGUGAGAGCAGACGAAAGACAGAUUAUUAAUCUGGAUGACUGUAUGCUCAGAGGAAGCCCCGGCUAACUACGUG